rnacentral:rRNA from 1 species
AUGGCUUCCCUGGCCCGAAAUACCGUGCUGCUCCUUGUCCUGGUCGGCAUCGUUCUGCAGCUGAGCUCCAUCAUGCCAGCUGCGGCGGCUGGCAGGAUGCUUGCAGAGGACGUACUGAAGUGUGAAGGCGGGUUGGUAUUCAAGAGAGAUCCCUCCAUUAGCGGCGGCGGCAUGUGCGUCGUAGCCGAGAUACUCAAGUGCGGCGGCGGGUUGGUAUUCAAGGAAGAUCCCUCCGUUAGCGGCGGCGGCGACGGGCUCGACAGCUUUUUGAUGCGCUGGUGGUUGCGCUCCAUCCAACAAGAUGUGCCCAUGGUUGUAGUCCGUGCUGUGAUGAAGAUUGGUUCAAUUUUAAAGGUUGAGGCUGCUGGGGCUAGCAUAUAUAAACUGUUUGAUGAAGUUACUAAUAGGAAGGAAUUUCCGUUGAAGGUCGAGCAAAUAAGUGAGCCACUGUUAAUGUCAGGAGGUGUUAUAGGGAAGAUAGGCACAGUGGAGCAAGAGGUAUACUUCCAUAUACAUGAUGCUCUCCAGAAUUUCCAAGGAAGAUGCAUCGUCAUCACAACACGGAACGAACAUGUUGCCAUGAUUUCUUCUCCCAUCGGUCGCCUUCGGCUCGAACAGUUGAGUCAGCCUGAUGCAUUUGACCUUCACUGCAGAAGGGCUUUUACAGAAACAACAGCUACAUGUGCCCCGAGGAGCUUGAGACAGUUGCUACUUCUAUAG